rnacentral:lncRNA from 1 species
UCGCGACGGUUGCUAGAAAUGCUACCUUUUAAGAUGUGAUUAGAACAUGAAGGUAGGUAUUUGACUCUAAACGACCUGAGUCCAAGCAAUGCAUCACACGAUGAUAGGUCAUUAGAAUAUGACACAUCGUUCCAUUCUAGUAAUAAAAGAACUUAUAUUAAGUUCAUAUCAACUGAGGAUUAACAUUGUGACUCGAAGGUCAUAAUUUGGAGUCUAACGUGAGAUGGGGAGCGGGUCCAAGAUCGGGCACCGCUUGUAGUUAGGAAAUCUUAGAGUCAGAUACUCGUUUGAAGAAACAUCAAAGUUACGGUUAUUACUUAGGAUAAAGAGAUAACGUAUGGAGUCAUCAUGUGAGCCCUGUUUCGUUGAUGAUUUCGGGACGUAAUCAUCCCAACGGGGAGAUAAUUGUAACGCCCGUAGAUCCGGGCUAGUCAAGUUAGAGGCAAUAAGUGUCGAAAACGACUUUUCGACAAAAUAUUAUUUAGAAUAAAUAAUUUUAACCAAGUUGUAGUAUAUGUCACAAGGUUUCCGUACAUAUAUAGAACGUUGAAAUCCGAGUUAUAACGAAGAAGUUAUGACCCGUCGAAGUUUCGCGACGGAACCGACAUGAUAUCGGAAAGCGUAAAUAGUAAAUUUACAAUAGAGCAAGAUUUAGCCUUAGCGCUCUAAAUGAAAGUCGUAGAAUAUGUUAAACUAAGAAAAUCGAUAAAAAUAACGCCCAAAUCUGACUUCGUAUGAAGAAGUUAUAAUUUUUCGAAGUUUCGGAUUAACAGUGUACAGCCCGAAAUUCGAAUAUUAGAUCGAGUGAUUUUAGCUAACACGACCUAACCAAGAAUCGAAGAUAUCGUUAAGCGUAGCGUAUCAAGAAAAAGAUGGGCGAAAACGGACGUCGGAUGAAGAAGUUAUGAGGAUUUAACAGACCAAAUCCUGUCCCGGCCUGUUAAUAAUAUAAAAUUUAAAAUCGAGUCAUAAUUAGUCGACGGAGUCUAAACGAAUGUUGUAGAGUACGUUCCGACCUUCGCGUGGAUAUAAAGAACGUUAAAAACGGAGCUCGUACUCAAAAGUUACGAAUUUUUAAAGUUUAUGAUCGAAUUUGCGAAGGCUGAUAAGGACUUGAUGACGUGGCGCGUUGUGGGCCGUCCAUCGCUGAUCAGUGAACGCUUCGGAUUCGGACACGCCUCGCUUCGCUACGCCCAGCGUCCAAGGUCAAGUACGUGCAACAUACUCCGGUUCUUAUCCUUCUGACGAGUGCAAGCCACGUGCGAGACAGUUGGAGCUCCUAUCCGAAGUUACGCUCCGCGUAGCCAAGGAUUACGCCCAGUGUAGUCCAAGUCCUCGCAGGGUAUAAAAAGGGGCGAUGGUCUCCGCAUUUUUCACACCAUUUCUCAUUCUCUCUCUCUAUUUUCUUUCUCUAUCUAAGGGUUUUAACCCUCCCCUAAGCCUAGAUGAUCCCCUAGCACCCUAAGGAAGCCCCGAGGCUCCCAGAGUCCCGAGAAAAAGGGUCUUUCGGUUUCGGAAACGCUGCUCCGAGCAAAGCCCAUUUUUCUUUAAAAUCCACUGUAAGUGAGAUACGCUUACGCAAUUUUUAAUAUAGCUUCCAAAUAAUUAUAGUAAUGUUAUUAGGUCCUUAAAUUAAUUAUUUGGGCUAUUAUUAUGAGUUAUAUUGAGUGUUAUUUAACGCUUAUAUAAUAAUAGUCAGACUAUUAAUUUGUCGCGGUUAUCGUUGGACUAAACCCUAGUAGUAUUGAUACUAGGUUUUAUCGAAGGAAAUUGUUUUGAGAGUAUCGAAGCGCUGUCCGAGUGCUGAGUCACCACCUUUCAGGUGAGUGCAUGGUCCCUUUCAUCUUACACAUAGAUAUGAAGUAUUUUAUAUAAAUUAUGUGUUAUGUGUGCAUAUUAUCUGAUUACUUUCUGUCUAUGCUAGUUGAACGGUUUUAUACACGUUUUAAACGAUUUAAAUUGUAUAUGUAUUUUAUAUCUACGAAAAUAUUGGGAUAAAACAUGGGUAGAUAUAAUAGAUGGAAUAUGAGUUGGACGAUGAGUUGAGAGGUGUUAUAGACCACGAGGUGAGGGUGAGAGGUGAACGAUGUGAGAAGCCUUUUCCCAAACGAUGGCCCCGUCAUUCAGCAGAGUAUGGAUGACAACCAUAGACUAUUCUAGACAGUCCCGUGGAACACUAGCAGGCUCGCAACCUGUAAGUGUUGUGAACAAUGUGUUCACUCGGUGUACUCUAAACCUUGGCGAUCAUGCAGACUUGAUGCCCAAACCAUGGCGAUCAUGCAGACUUGAUGCCUAAACCCUGGUGAUCAUGCAAACUUGGUGCCAACACCCUGGCGAUUAUGCAGACUUAGUGCCUAAACCCCGGUGACGAUUGACUUCGUGCCGAUUGUUUAGGAAUGUAUGAACGAGGAAGGGUUAAUUCUUAGGGUAGAUCCUUAAGAGUAAAGAAGAUAAUGGGGUUGGGUAAUUGGGUUGAUGUUUUGAUUGUUUGAACAUAAUAAUUAUAUUAUUAUGGGUUGAAAACCCUAUGUAGACACCAGGUUUCCCAACCUAACUCACUCAGUUUAUUUAUAUCACAGGUGUCGAUAUGAAGUCACAUUACACUGAGAGAUUUAAAGAGAUGUAGAUCACUAGUGUAAAUAAAUGUAAAUUCUGUUUAUGCUUAUGUUUCUUUAUUAACGAUGACAUCUCAAAUGUUAUAAAAUGAAUAAAAUACGUUUCUUUGAAAAUGUUUUAAUAACAUAUUUAUCGUGUUUUUCUGGGAACAAAUUCCGCAACAUUUUUAUUAAAAGAAGUACUCUGAUUUUUAUAAAGCAUAAACAAAAUCGGUCUUUUCUGGCCGUGAAAAUGGGGAUGUCACAGUUGGUAUCAGAGCAUUUGUUUAAGCGAACUAGGAAUUUGUAGGAAAUUUCUAGACUUAAACUUAGAAUGCUAAGUGAUGAUUGUGAGGAGUGUGUCAAAUGGAUUUAGGUAAUACACCUGAAUAGACACAAGCACUAGCUUAUUUUAGGAAUGAUGCCGAAAUCGCUUUUAUGUGCUAAAUGAUUUGUUAUGCUAUAGUUUGAUCGGAUCUAUGGUCUGUUGCCGACCGGAUCUGGAAACCUUAUGUGUUUAGGAUUCUAAACGUACAAAUACGAUAUUAGAACUAGCAUAUAAACGUUUCAGAGUGAUAAGGAUGAUUUAAAUGUCAGUCCUAAAUAAAGGUCUAGAUUCACCUUAUUCGGUGUAUAGAUCAAGAUGGAAAGGACCCGUAGCGGGAACGUGAAUGCAAAUGAGAAUAGGAACCAACCCCCAGUGGUUCAGCAAAUACUUGUUGUAGAAGAAGUUGCACCUGAGCCAGUCACCAUGGCUGGAGUUCAAGCCAUGAUUCGGGCCAUGAUAGCUGAACAAAGGGAAGAAAUGAGACAGAUGUUCCACGAAAAUAGGGACGAACCUACCAUACAUGUUGAGCCGACCGAGCCAAUUCCCGAAUAAUCUGAGUAAGGGAACUACAGCCGCCAAGUGAGUCAAGUGGGGACUCAAGGCGAACGAAGGGAAGGCCCGGAGAGGAGAAACGACAAGGAUGGGCGAAUAUACAAGAAUUUCUUGAGUGCGAAACCACCGAGUCUCUCAGGAAGCCCGAAGCCGGUUGAGAUUAUGGAUUGGAUCUCUGAGAUGGAGAUGGUGUUUGAGAGCUGCAGCUGUAGCGAGAAACAGAAGACUAUCUUCGCAGUAAGACAUCUGAAAACUGGAGUCUUGAGCUGGUGGAAGCUAUUGGCAGAUACGAUGCCACGAGGAGAAGCCCUAAGGAUGUCAUGGGAGGAGUUCUUGGAACAGUUGAAAAUGCAGUACUGCUCAGAGAUAGAUCUGAUAGACCUAAACAACGAAUUUCAGAACCUGAAGAAAGGGAAGAUGAGUGUUGAUGAGUACGCCACCGCAUUCACCGAGAGGAUAAAGCUAUUUCCCUACUUGGUUCCUACUGAACUCUCCAAGAUUGAUAGGUUUGCUAACGGAUUGCCCACUGACUUUGGCCCAAUGGUCAAAAUGGAAACUACCUUGAAAAUAGUUGUUAGGGCAGCUAAGAACGUAGAGACCCAGAUAAGAGAAAAGGGUCUAGAAAAAGACAAGGCAGGAAAAAGGGGAAGCAUGAAGGAUCUUCAAAAUUCAACAAAGAAAGGAAAUUCUCAAAAACGGAAGAAGGAGGAGGAGGUGAAUCCAAGUGGUGCGAGAAGUGUAAAAAGAAGCACUUCGGGAAAUGUGGCAAGGAGGUGACUUGCUACAAAAGUGGAAAGACAGGGCAUUAUGCCAGCAAGUGUACGUCCAACAAGAAGGUGUGUUAUGGAUGUAACAAAGAAGGGCAUAUCUCUAGGGACUGCCCAAAGAAAAACGAGGCAGCAAGGCCAAACACACCACCAAGGCCAAGAGCAUUCCACAUGAUUCUCGACGAAGCAGAAAACCAUGCGAGGAAUCAAGGAUGAGGACUUCAUAUCUGAAGAUCAAGUUAUACAGUAGCCAUAGUAUCAUAUGAUGUAGCCUGUUAGAGGCAUAGUCUAGGGUGAACUAGAACACCUCUGUAAUAGUUUCAAGAAAUAAUAAAACCUUCGUUUUGCUAUCUGAUGUGUUAAACUGUUAUGUGAUUUUCUUGUAUGAUGACUUGGAAAAUUGCGAGACAAUACUUGGGACGAGUAUGAGUAGGUGUGAAAGGCAGUAGAUGCAUAUACUACCGGAAGCACAGGACUCACGCUUGGAUCAAGGAAAGUCACAAGGUUACCCAGAAGCCAAUAAUUGAUCCCGUUGUAUUCAAGCAUGUUGUUACCAUCGUUUCGGUAAUGACUCAGAAGGUUGUUGUUAUUCCGACCAUAGUGGUCAUAUCGAAUUGAGUCCGACUACAAUAAGUAUGUUACGUGGUUCAAAGAACUAAGUUCGAUGUAGCACCCGACUUAAGCCAGAAGGAUUAAUCAAAGCAGUCAGUAGAAAUAUCGCGACGGUUGCUAGAAAUGCUACCUUUUAAGAUGUGAUUAGAACAUGAAGGUAGGUAUUUGACUCUAACGACCUGAGUCCAAGCAAUGCAUCACACGAUGAUAGGUCAUUAGAAUAUGACACAUCGUUCCAUUCUAGUAAUAAAAGAACUUAUAUUAAGUUCAUAUCAACUGAGGAUUAACAUUGUGACUCGAAGGUCAUAAUUUGGAGUCUAACGUGAGAUGGGGAGCGGGUCCAAGAUCGGGCACCGCUUGUAGUUAGGAAAUCUUAGAGUCAGAUACUCGUUUGAAGAAACAUCAAAGUUACGGUUAUUACUUAGGAUAAAGAGAUAACGUAUGGAGUCAUCAUGUGAGCCCUGUUUCGUUGAUGAUUUCGGGACGUAAUCAUCCCAACGGG